rfam:Zea mays cultivar B73 chromosome 1, whole genome shotgun sequence.
GCUUGUCUAGCUCAUUCGGUAGAGCGUAAGACUCUGAAUCUUGAGGUCUUGGGUUCGAGCCCCAUGGUAGGCG